UACAGUGGGUGCAAGCGUUAAUCGGAAUUACUGGGCGUAAAGCGUGCGUAGACGGUUAUUUAAGUCAGGUGUGAAAGCCCAGGGCUCAACCUUGGAAUUGCAUUUGAGACUGAAUAGCUAGGGUGCGGAAGAGGGAAGCGGAAUUUCCGGUGUAGCGGUGAAAUGCGUAGAUAUCGGAAGGAACACCGGUGGCGAAGGCGGGUCUCUGGGCCGAUACUGACGCUGAGGAGCGAAAGCGUGGGGAGCGAACAGG
rnacentral:rRNA from 1 species